AGCGGCGGACGGGUGAGCAACGCGUGAAAAACCUGCCCUUCAGUUGGGGAUAGCCCGCCUAACGGCGGAUUAAUACCGAAUAUUGAUUAGUGUCGCAUGGCACUUUAUCGAAAGAUUUAUCGCUGGGGGAUGGUUUCGCGUGAGAUUAGCUAGUUGGUGAGGUAGUGGCUCACCAAGGCAACGAUCUCUAGCCGGCCUGAGAGGGUGAUCGGCCACAUUGGGACUGAGAUACGGCCCAGACUCCUACGGGAGGCAGCAGUAGGGAAUAUUGCACAAUGGAGGCAACUCUGAUGCAGCAAUACCACGUGUGGGAUGACGCAUUUAGGUGUGUAAACCACUGUCAGUAGUGAAUAUAGUGAAUGUAGCUACAAAGGAAGCACCGGCUAACUUCGUGCCAGCAGCCGCGGUAAUACGAGGGGUGCAAGCGUUGUUCGGAAUCACUGGGCGUAAAGGGAGCGUAGGUGGAUGUACAAGUCAGAUGUUUAAUUUCGAGGCCUAACUUCGAGUUUGCAUUUGAAACUGUAUGUCUUGAAUAGAUCAGAGGUUGACGGAAUACCUGGCGUAGCGGUGGAAUGCGUAGAUAUCAGGUAGAACACCAAUGGCGAAGGCAGUCAACUGGGAUCAUAUUGACACUGAGGCUCGAAAGCGUGGGUAGCGAACAGGAUUAGAUACCCUGGUAGUCCACGCCGUAAACGAUGUUCACUAGGCGUCUGCAUUUAUGUGGGUGCCGCAGCUAACGCAUUAAGUGAACCGCCUGGGGAGUAC
rnacentral:rRNA from 1 species